ACGAUAAUUCAAAGAAAACACGUUUCAAUCCUGCAUCUAGGGUUUCAGCCAAAUCGCCUCUCUCUAAGAAACCUAAUCGACCUCUGUAGUUGAUUUGCAUUUAAUCUCAUCGUUACUUCACUUCAUCUUCCUUCCCUGUAUUCAAUGAUUCAAACAAAAGUCUUAAUUAGUAGACAGAAGCUAUGGAACCCUAAUAUAAUAGCACGUAAAUGAAGUGCUUCAGUUAGAUCGUUUCAAUUCCUUUAAGACACGCCCUUCCUCACGAAUAAUCUAACCCUUCGUUCCAGUCUCCACCCUUGAAUUGAAUCCACACACACAUGAGAGCGAGAAGGGAUCCAGAGGAGACGAUGACAAUGAUUCAACGGCGGUUAAGGAUCAAACGGUGGCGACGCAAUAGUUUGAAGUGUUGUAUCUGGAUAUGGUGGGACGUCAAUACGAUUGCUUGAUUAACCCUCUCGGGGCCGUCCGAUCAACGUUUGAGAAGGUGGUGGCAACUGGUGCAGAUCCGACAUCAUUUGACGGUAAAGAUUGGGGCGUAUCAGAUCUAUUUCGAGAAUACCUUUUUCAAAACGAAGCCGUCAGUCAGGUUUCGAUUCUGACUCAUUCAACGGUUAAAUGGGCUCAAGCGAAUUUGUUAGUUCGGUUUUGUGGGAUGAUACAAGGUAUGUUAGGAAAUGAAUGCUAUGUUGGUCCUUAUAAGAAUGAAGGGACAUGGAAUAGCAACAAAUUCACAGACAUUUCUCAAUUUCCCAUGCGUCAUUCCCCGGAUACCCGCCUCUGGGAUCGUCGGCUGCUCUUAUGUGUACCUCCUAAAUGGAAUGAUGCACUUCUAGAGGCGUUUAGGAUCGAUUAUGUUGGAAAAUCUCCGUACAUAAACUGUCUCCCGAGCCUUUACCAUCACUUCUAGAGGCGUUUAGGAUCGAUUAUGUUGCAUCUUCAGACGGGCUUUAUCAGUAUUUCACUAACGAGGAGGCUGUUUCUGAAACUGAUCUACAUCAGUCCUGGGUUAAGGGGCAUAUUCAGAUGUUAAUGAUCACAGCACUUCAAACAACAGUACGAUAUCAUCUGUGCCGCCACUAUACCGCAGUGAGGGCGAGAUAUUACAGUCACCCAAUUUGAAAAGUUUUAGCUUUUCUGAUCUGAAAAUGGCCACCAGUAAUUUCCGACCCGAUAGCAUGUUGGGAGAAGGCGAGUUCGGUACGGUUUUCAAGGGCUGGAUAGAUGAACAACCUUUCACUGCUACUAAGCCCGGAACCAGCAUUGUUAUUGCUGUCAAAAAGCUUCAUCAAGAAAGUUUUCAAAGUCACAGGGAAUGGCUGAUUUGAGUAUCCACAGCCAACGUUUCAGAAAUUAAUGAAAGAGAACUGCAUGGAGCCUUUCUUUGUCUCUCAGAUCUUCUGUAUGGGACUUUGGUGUCUAGAUGAAAAAACCAAAUGGAUACGGGUGGCGACCUAAUAAUAACGAAGAAGAUCUUGCGAAAGUAGUUCAGGACGACCGUCAUUCUUUGUAUCCUCCUUUUGUUCCUAGAGAAUGUCAACCAGUGGACUGGUUGGGUCGAUAGGUUUUGUGUGGACUGAAACAGGUGGUUACGUUGAUCCAAGACACUUGUUCAACAUAUUUAUUUUUUUAAUAAACAAUUACUCUUAGACAGUGGCGGAACUAGCCCAUUAAAUCAAGUUGGAUGGUUGUUGACGUUUUUACGUUAAAA